AAUUUAUUAUUUAUUAAUGGUGCCAGUGUCUUAACAGAACCCAUCAAAUUCACACUCGGUGAUAAUCAUGUCACAUCAGCGACAACAUAUUCGCAUGCUGUUGGCACAAUCAGCGGCAUUAUUGCCAGCAUAUUGGCAAUAUUGCUGGCAGCAGCAGCCAUAAUAUUCUAUCGACGCCAUCGAGCAAACGGUAAGAUAGCUGGCAAUGGUGUAGCUUUUGAAAAUCCCACAUACACUCGUGGUCUGGAACAAGUGCAGUUACCUACUGUGACAUCAGCCAUAACAAAUAGCGGCACCACCUCACAGCCACCAACGCGCGAUGUCACAGAUGGCAUCAACAGCACAGAUGCGCACUCAACCCAAUGCAAAGAAGUAAAUCCCACAAUUUAUGAAGAGCUCAAACUUGGCCAAGAAGACUCAUUACGUGUCAAGGUUCACUGGGCUUACGACUUUUAAUUACCAGUGCCAUACGCAAUUAGUCUUUUGGCUAAGAUACAAGUCAGCGGGUAAGCGAACGAACAAUGAAUGCGUGAAUUAGCCAGCAUAAAACAAAGGACAUGAGGUCCAGCCAAAAGCAAGGGCCAAGGUCCUUGCGUGAGUCUAUGUUAUUAUAUUUCAAUGCACACUUUGAAUAUAAAUUAAAAAAAGCUUCUGUUUUUCUUCGCCGUUACGAUUAUGAUUUUGUUAUUUACUACCAAAAUGAUUUGUUUCUGCUACUCUUUCUGUUUAUGGAGUUUUUUUUAUAGA